UCUUCUUCUCAUACAGCUGAGAAGAAGAAGAAGAGACAAUGUUCAACCUAAUAAGGCAUGCAAGAGAGGAGCAAAGCAAUGCUAGCUGAUCAGAAAGAGAUGUAAAGGGGCUUCUGUCGCAGGAGAGAUGGUGCCUACCGCAUAGCUCUUGCUUGCUGGUUUGUGCAUUAAUGUCAUCACAGCAAUAUGUAAUUAAGCAUCAUCUUUCCUGGACUGAAGCCCAUCAUUUUCUUUCAGUAGCAGUGUAGCACCAUCGUUGAGAAAGAGGUACGUUUCCAUUUUGUUUUGUUUUGUUUUAAUCAUUUUAUUUAUCUGUUCUAUAUGUUGAAUUCAUGCAUGGUUUAUAGGGACGACGAUAUAUUAGUAUUUGUUUUGUAAAGCUAUCGUGAGUUAGAAUUUCUCGUGUCAGUGUGAUGGGGAUUGAAUCUCUAUCAAAUUAAUCUGGCUUAAAUUUUUAUAACUCCAGUGUGUAACUACCAAGAUAAAUAAUUUAGCAAGGAAAUAAAAAGAGGAUUUUUAAUCCUAUUCCCAUCAAGAUCCGGGCCCAAAUAUGUUUAAAUCUUAAUAAGAUCUACAUAACUGAUUAACUCAAGUCGAUUGUGCUUAUUUUAUAAGAAUCAGUAAAGACCUUUUUACUCUUUACAUAUAAAAUUAUAAAUUGUAGAAACGAACGAUAUGUAGUUUAAGUUUCAAAGCAUCAGACGACAUGAUGUAAAAGUAGAAAAAUUAACCUACAUCAAGUCAUCUUGAAGAAAAAAAAUGGACAACAAGCGUUAUAGAGUAUGCACCGCGGUACUCUGUAUGACUAGUUGUUUUCUCUAUAUUGACAAUACAACGUGUCGUACUCAAAAACCAUAAUCAAACGACAUAUCUCUGAAGUACCUAACUUCAUCAAAUUUAAUGAAUUAAAUGCUAUCGUAUAAGAAAGAAGAAAACUCGAAGCUGCGAUCUUUUUGAGAGUCUAGUGUCUAAGCUAAAUUACAAACACAAAUGGGAAUUGAAAAGUAGAAACCAAUUCACUGUGGAUCCAUUGUAUGUUUAAUUUUUUUUUCACUAAGCAUAUACAUGAAUUUUUAUUCUUUUACCCUUAGGGCCUACUUGGUAUUGAUGUGUUAUAGUUUUUAAACCAAAUUUGCUAUGAAAAAAAAAAUCUAUAGUUGAGAUAUAAAACUAUAUUGUGUCUAGUAAAUAUGAUCAAAAACUAAUUAAAAAAAAUAGUAAACUUAUUAAAAAAAUUUCUUCAGAUAACUAUUAGAUGAAAUCAAUUUAACUUAAAAAUUAUAAAUAUAAAUAUUUAUUAAACAAUUUAUUUUUAUAUCUAUUAAGUCUCAACUUUCAUACAACACCACCAAACAGACCUUGGAGGUAUGUCUAUUAAGCCGCACCUGCCCUCCCAUCUCAUUCAUUCCCAUUAAUUUGACAUCUCGCUAUUUGUUUUAAAUUACAAUAAGAGGUGUGGAUUCUCACACACUAGGAAGACAUAAAUGCACAUACAGUCAUAAUAGUAUCUAGGAAAAUACAUUGACCCCACUCAAAUUUAUCAAAAGGAGACCUAUUUUGGGUCACCAGCCACAAUUAGUGCAAGGAGGCCUUUUGUGACAGUCUAAUACGAAUUUAAAGAAAUUCAUCUGAAAGUAGCGUGUGGGCCGUAUAGCUCGAAGCACAGCUGUACUUUCAGUGGGUUCAUUUCAUAUGGGCUACCUCAAAAAUCUACUGGGCUUUUCAACUUAAUGAUUCCCUUCCUUCACUUGCAUGCACAUGUCUAUCUCUGACUCUCUCUGUACAGGUGUUGCUGUAUUUAAAUGAUAAUGACAUUAUUAUGGUCUGUAAUCGGUAUGGAAUUGGUGUAAAUAAG
rnacentral:lncRNA from 1 species